AGUUUGAUUCAUCAGAUUGAACGCUGGCGGGAUGCUUCCACGCGCUGCAAGUCAGACGGCGGCACGGACUUCAAAUCUGGUGGCGAGUGGCGAACGGGUGAGUAAUGUAUCGGAACGUGCCUAGUGGCAGGGGAUAACUACGCAGCGUAACACACAUCGCCCUUCAGGGAAAGCAGGACCUUCGGGCCUCGCACGCAUCAGGCAGCCUGAUAUCGAGUUAGCUAGUUGGUGGGGUAACGGCUCGCAAGGCGACGAUCCGUAGCUGGUUUGAGGACGACCAGCCCACACUGGGACACGAGACACGGCCCAGACUCCUACAGGAGGUAGCAGUGGGGAAUUUUGGACAAUGGAAACCUGAUCCAGCCAUCGCGUAUUACGAUGAAGGCCUUCGGGUUGUAAAGCACUUUUGGCAGAAGAAACGGCACAGGAUAAUACCCCGUGCAGCUGACGGUACCUGCAGAAUAAGCACCGGCUAACUACGUGCAUGGCCAUGACCACGUAGGGUGCAAGCGUUAAUCGGAAUUACUGGGAGCGUAAAGCGUGCACCAGAGCGGUUCGAAGAAGAUGUGAAAUCCAGAGCAACUUUGGAACUGCAUUUUAACUACCGAGCUAGAGUGUGUCAGAGGAGUGGAAUUCCGCAUGUAGUGAAAUGCGUAGAUGCGGAGGAACACCGAUGGCGAAAACAGCCUCCUGGGAUAACACUGACGCUCAUGCACGAAAGCGUGGGGAGCAAACGGGUUGAAUGCCCUGGUAGUCCACGCCCUAAACGAUGUCAACUAGCUGUUGGGGCCUUCGGGCCUUGGUAGCGCAGCUAACGCGUGAAGUUGACCGCCUGGGGAGUACGGUCGCGAGAUUAAAACUCAAAGGAAUUGACGGGGACCCGCACAAGCGGCGGUGGAUGAUGUGUGAUUAAUUCAUUCUGCACGCGAAAAACCUUACCUACCCUUGACAUGUCUGGAAUCCCGAAGAGGCUGGGAGUGCUCGCAGAAGAACCGGAACACAGGUGCUGCAUGGCUGUCGUCAGCUCGUGUCGUGAGAUGUUGGGUUAAGUCCCUGUAUAGCGCAACUAUGACCAAACUGUAGUUGCUACGAAGGGCACUCUAAUGAGACUGCGAGUGACAAACCGGAGGAAGGUGGGGAUGACGUCAGAUCCUCAUGGCCCAUAUGGGUAGGGCUUCACACGUCAUACAAUGGUCGGGACAGAGGAGGGUCGCCAACCCGCGAGGGGAGCCAAAUCCCAGAAACCCGAUCGUAGUCCGGAUCGCAGUCUGCAACUCGACUGCGUGCGAAGUCCGGAAUCGCUGGUAAUCGCGGAUCAGCAUGUCGCGAUGAAUACGUUCCCGGGUCUUGUACACACGCCCGUCACACCAUGGGAGUGGGUUUUACCCAGAGUAGUUAGCCUAACCGUAAGGAGGGCGAUUACCACGGUAAGUUCAUGACUGGGGUGAAGUCGUAAUAAAGGUAA
rnacentral:rRNA from 1 species